rnacentral:rRNA from 1 species
AAGCUCARAUUUGAAAUCUGGUACUUUCAGUGCCCGAGUUGUAAUUUGUAGAAUUUGUCUUUGAUUAGGUCCUUGUCUAUGUUCCUUGGAACAGGACGUCAUAGAGGGUGAGAAUCCCGUUUGGCGAGGAUACCUUUUCUCUGUAAGACUUUUUCGAAGAGUCSAGUUGUUUGGGAAUGCAGCUCAAAGUGGGUGGUAAAUUCCAUCUAAAGCUAAAUAUUGGCGAGAGACCGAUAGCGAACAAGUACAGUGAUGGAAAGAUGAAAAGAACUUUGAAAAGAGAGUGAAAAAGUACGUGAAAUUGUUGAAAGGGAAGGGCAUUUGAUCAGACAUGGUGUUUUUUGCAUGCACUCGCCUCUCGUGGGCUUGGGCCUCUCAAAAAUUUCACUGGGCCAACAUCAAUUCUGGCAGCAGGAUAAAUCAUUAAGAAUGUAGCUACUUCGGUAGUGUUAUAGCUUUUUGGAAUACUGUUAGCCGGGAUUGAGGACUGCGCUUCGGCAAGGAUGUUGGCAUAAUGGUUAAAUGCCGCCCGUCUUGAAACACGGACCAAAAAAA